UCUCCGUUGGUGAACCAGCGGAGGGAUCAUUACUGAGUUAUCAACUCCCAAACCCCUGUGAACAUACCCAACGUUGCUUCGGCGGGACCGCCCCGGCGCCCUCGGCGUCCCGGAACCAGGCGCCCGCCGGAGGACCCAAACUCUUGUUUAAACCAUAGUGGCAUAUUCUGAGUCUCACAAGAAAAAUGAAUCAAAACUUUCAACAACGGAUCUCUUGGCUCUG
rnacentral:misc_RNA from 1 species